rnacentral:rRNA from 1 species
GACCUUCGGGUCUAGUGGCGCACGGGUGCGUAACGCGUGGGAAUCUGCCCUUAGGUUCGGAAUAACAGUUAGAAAUGACUGCUAAUACCGGAUGAUGACUUCGGUCCAAAGAUUUAUCGCCUAAGGAUGAGCCCGCGUAGGAUUAGCUUGUUGGUGAGGUAAAAGCUCACCAAGGCGACGAUCCUUAGCUGGUCUGAGAGGAUGAUCAGCCACACUGGGACUGAGACACGGCCCAGACUCCUACGGGAGGCAGCAGUGGGGAAUAUUGGACAAUGGGCGAAAGCCUGAUCCAGCAAUGCCGCGUGAGUGAUGAAGGCCUUAGGG